GAUGAGGGCUGCAGCAGGAGCCCUCAACAAUGUGCUGUUUAGGAGCACGCAGUAACCCCCCAACCCUGCAGUUCGAAAUCUGCAUAUAACUUCACAUACUUAGGAAUGAAGAAUUAUCUCUGGAAUACAACACACUUACAUUAUAAACUGUUUAGAGAAAGGACACAACAACUCAUAAGGCUCAAGUCCAUUGACCUGGAUGGGUCUCCGUGUUAUGAACUCUUCACUCAGGUUCAUUUCUGAUUUGAGCCUCUGGGGGAAGGGGCGUGGCCCCUGAGUGACAGGAUUUCCCUGGGGCCUGGCAGGGACAGUGACAUCUCAGAAGGACUCCCUGGAGAGCCCCUGUCCCCUCUCAUCCACACACACUCCAGAGGGCCCUCCACCUGCCCCGCCCCCGCCAUGAGCCCCUGCCUCCUGGGCUGUGUGGUCUUCUGUCUCCUGCAGGCAGGGGCGGUCCAUGCUGGUGUCACUCAGGAUCCCAGAUUCCAGGUCGUGAGGACAGGACAGAGCGCGACACUGACAUGUACUCAGGAUCCGGGUCUUGACCGCAUGUACUGGUACCGACAAGACCUGGGACACGGGCUGAGGCUGAUCCAUUACUCAGCUGGUGUGUUCACUAUCGAGCCAGGAGAUGUGCCCGAUGGCUACAGCGUCUCCAGAUCAAACAUAGAGAACUUCCCUCUAAUGCUGGAGUCUGCAAACCGCUCCCAGACAUCUGUGUACUUCUGCACUAGCAGUUACUCCACGGCACUGCAGGGUCACCUCCUCUCUGUGCAAAAGACAGGGGUCCACGUGCAGGCUCCUAGCACCGGGAGCCUCAGGGCUUUGUUAGCCAGGUGCCUGCAGUGUGACCCUGGGUAUGCGGUGGAGACUGGCCCGAACCUCACUGCCGGGCCUUGGGGACCUUGUGGGACCAUCGAUCUCUGUCUUUCCUCUGCAGCCUCCAUGUGA